AAUCAAUCACUCUGACAUCUAGACAAUCGAGUCCCACUAACGUCAGCAAGCUGUCGGAAGCGGGGUAACCGCCAGAAGCCAGGUAAUAAGCCACGAAGGUAUCCGCUGCAAUCCUCAAUCCCGGUCACCACAUAGAUCGAGGUCUAUAACACUUUCCCGAAGGAAAGCCACGUUCCCUCAAAUUUUUUAUGAUAACCGAAAUUGAUGCUAACCUGCCAAGUAAGGAAGUGCACCAGAAAGUAUGCGAGAGAACCCACACACCAUCAAGUUGAUUCCCCACUAGCAUGAC
rnacentral:rRNA from 1 species